rnacentral:tRNA from 1 species
GGCCCCUUGGUCAAGCGGCUAAGACGGCGCCCUCUCACGGCGCAAUCAUGGGUUCGAUUCCCGUAGGGGUCACCA